rnacentral:lncRNA from 1 species
AAGUUUCAAAGUGACUUUCCAGGCAAGCUGCGCAUAUCUUGGGAUCUUCACAGCACAGUGGCUGGGAAGGCAGGCGGACCCGUCUAUCAGCUUCUCCCUGACAUCCAGCAAGAAGCAGCUCAAGGGUUUAUCUUGGCUCACAGUUUGAAGGUCCGACUCAUCAUGGCAGGACUUGGCGUUGGGUCAGAUGCCCUGUGGCUGUGUCAUGUGGAAUGCGAGGCUGCCUGCUCAUAUCUCAGCAGAUCCAGAGGGGACAAAGAAGAAGGCCACACCCACACGACUUCAGGUGGGAUUCUUGCGGGGGCAGGGAUCGAGUCAAACCUUGGAAAUGACGUCAUUCUGAACUCAUCUGCCUUUAUCCAGAAGACUACCAAAGCAAACCAGAGGACCAGAGAACAGCAGCUGCUCUGGACAAAGAGGGGAGGACACCCACACCCACAUACCAAGUUCUGGUUGACUUCUACAGCAGAAGAAGCAGGAGACACAAGAAGUCUCCUCAGAAGAACAUUGACCAGCACGCCUGCAUCCUUUCUGUUCUGACACACUUGUUACCUGGAUGACUUCUUUCUCAUCACCCACGUGCCAAGAGUGCCAUGUCUCAUCUGGACCAGAGACUCUGAGGAUCACACCAACAGAGACACAAAUGACACUUAAAGAAAGCCACAUCAGCUUUUACAACUUACCCCCCAAUACCGAAUGUCAUCAACUCAAUUUAAAUCAUUGGAUGGUUCUGUUCUCAGGGCCAGAGAGUUUCACUAAACUUCGUCGAACCCUUCGGUAUAACUGUCAACUGUGCAGAGUGUGCUUGGUGUCUGGAUUCUCAGCCUUCAGUGUAAUCAUGUUUACAUCCCCAGGUGUCAGAAAAUUCCCCCUGACCCUUAACCCCCAACCCUUAGCAUGUUGGUGUCUUAGCUUUUACAAUGUCAUUGCUGGACUUGACUGCUUUUCACAAAGGUAGCUGCCCAACUAGCCAUGCCCCAACCAGUACAUUCUUCUUGGUUGCAUUCUUAAAUUCUCAGACUUUUUCUUAACAAAUGUGACAACUGAAUG